AGCAGCCACGGUAAUUCCAGUUCCAAUAGCGUAUAUUAAAGUUGUUGCAGUUAAAAAGCUCGUAGUUGAAUUUUAGGCCUGGCCAGGCAGUCCGUCUUUGGCAAGUACUGUCUUGUUGUCGGGUCUUCCUUCUGGUAAACCAGUAUGUCCUUUAUUGGGUGUGUUGGGGAGCCAGAACCAUUACCUUGAAAAAAUUAGAGUGUUUAAAGCAGGCUAUUGCUUGAAUAGAUUAGCAUGGAAUAAUAAAAUAGGACGUUGUGGUUCUAUUUUGUUGGUUUCUAGGACCACCGUAAUGAUUAAUAGAGAUAGUUGGGGGCAUUAGUAUUCAAUUGUCAGAGGUGAAAUUCUUGGAUUUAUUGAAGACUAACUAUUGCGAAAGCAUUUGCCAAGGAUGUUUUCAUUAAUCAAGAACGAAAGUUAGGGAAUCGAAGACAAUCAAAUACCAUCGUAGUCUUAACCAUAAACUAUGCUGACUAGGAAUCGGACGACGUUAUUCUCAUGACUCG
rnacentral:rRNA from 1 species